GACGAACGCUGGCGGCGUGCUUAACACAUGCAAGUCGAGCGGUAAGGCCCUUUCGGGGGUACGACGAGCGGCGAACGGGUGAGUAACACGUGGGUGACCUGCCCUCAGCUCUGGGAUAAGCCUGGGAAACCGGGUCUAUACUGGAUAUGACUCCAUGACGCAUGUUGGUGGGGUGGAAAGCCUUGUGCGGCUGAGGAUGGGCCCGCGGCCUAUCAGCUUGUUGGUGGGGUGAGGCCUACCAAAGGCGACGACGGGUAGCCGGCCUGAGAGGGCGACCGGCCACACUGGGACUGAGACACGGCCC
rnacentral:rRNA from 1 species